CCUACGGGAGGCAGCAGUGAGGAAUAUUGGUCAAUGGACGAGAGUCUGAACCAGCCAAGUAGCGUGAAGGAUGACUGCCCUAUGGGUUGUAAACUUCUUUUAUAUGGGAAUAAAAUGUUCCACGUGUGGGAUUUUGUAUGUACCAUAUGAAUAAGGAUCGGCUAACUCCGUGCCAGCAGCCGCGGUAAUACGGAGGAUCCGAGCGUUAUCCGGAUUUAGUGGGUUUAAAGGGAGCGUAGGUGGAUUGUUAAGUCAGUUGUGAAAGUUUGCGGCUCAACCGUAAAAUUGCAGUUGAAACUGGCAGUCUUGAGUACAGUAGAGGUGGGCGGAAUUCGUGGUGUAGCGGUGAAAUGCUUAGAUAGCACGAAGAACUCCGAUUGCGAAGGCAGCUCACUGGACUGCAACUGACACUGAGGCUCGAAAGUGUGGGUAUCAAACAGGAUUAGAUACCCCAGUAGUC
rnacentral:rRNA from 1 species